GGGGCCCCCCCGGCAGCGGCCCACGCACCAGAUAUCUGCUAGCGUUUCGCCGCAGAGAUCCUUCGCGCUAAUGCGCUCGACGGUUCUUAAACCUCUCCAGCCUGGAUCUCCCCUCGAUUCCAAACUAAGCCCGGGCUGCCAGGCUUACACAUUGCCGGCAACCUCCCAACGCCGGAAGCCCAUUAUGGGCACCCUUUAAAACAGCGGGAAGAAGAGACGCGCGCUCUCCUCCUUUACGGCAGGGGUGCGCGCGUUUGCGACAGCGUGACGCCGGCAGAGUUUUGGCGGGAAAAGUGCAGCAUUUGGAUUCCUGUGGUGGCGGCCAAAGGACGGCCUGCCGUGAUCCGUGGUGGAGUCAUGGCAGUGCCCUUUGUGGAAGACUGGGACUUGGUGCAAACCCUGGGAGAAGGUGCCUAUGGAGAGGUUCAACUUGCUGUGAAUAGAAGAACUGAAGAAGCAGUUGCAGUCAAGAUUGUAGACAUGAAGCGUGCCGUAGACUGUCCAGAAAAUAUUAAGAAAGAGAUCUGUAUCAAUAAAAUGCUAAAUCAUGAGAAUGUGGUGAAAUUUUAUGGUCACAGGAGAGAAGGCAAUAUCCAGUAUCUAUUUCUGGAGUACUGUAGUGGAGGAGAACUUUUUGACAGAAUAGAGCCAGACAUAGGCAUGCCUGAACAAGAUGCUCAGAGGUUCUUCCAUCAACUCAUGGCGGGGGUGGUUUAUCUGCAUGGUAUUGGGAUAACCCACAGGGAUAUUAAGCCAGAAAAUCUCCUAUUGGAUGAAAGGGAUAACCUCAAAAUCUCUGACUUUGGCUUGGCAACGGUGUUUCGGCAUAAUAAUCGUGAACGUUUAUUGAACAAGAUGUGCGGUACUUUACCUUAUGUUGCUCCAGAACUUCUAAAAAGAAAAGAAUUUCACGCAGAACCUGUUGAUGUUUGGUCCUGUGGAAUAGUACUUACGGCAAUGUUGGCUGGAGAAUUGCCAUGGGACCAGCCCAGUGACAGUUGUCAGGAAUACUCUGAUUGGAAAGAAAAAAAAACAUACCUCAACCCUUGGAAAAAAAUUGAUUCAGCUCCUCUAGCUUUGCUGCAUAAAAUCCUAGUUGAGAAUCCAUCAGUAAGGAUUACCAUCCCAGACAUCAAAAAAGAUAGAUGGUACAAUAAACCACUCAAGAAAGGGGCAAAGAGGCCCCGAGUCACUUCAGGUGGUGUAUCAGAAUCUCCUACUAGAUUUUCUAAGCACAUUCAAUCCAAUUUGGACUUCUCUCCAAUGAACAGUGCUUCUAGUGAAGAAAAUGUGAAGUAUUCCAGUUCCCAGCCAGAACCACGGACAGGUCUUUCAUUAUGGGACACCAGUCCUUCAUAUAUUGAUAAACUGGUACAAGGGAUCAGUUUUUCCCAACCCACAUGUCCUGAUCACAUGCUCCUGAAUAGUCAAUUACUUGGCACUCCAGGAUCCUCACAGAACCCUUGGCAGCGCUUGGUUAAAAGGAUGACACGAUUUUUUACCAAAUUGGAUGCAGACAAAUCUUAUCAAUGCCUGAAAGAGACUUGUGAGAAAUUGGGCUAUCAGUGGAAAAAGAGUUGUAUGAAUCAGGUUACUGUAUCAACAACUGAUAGGAGAAACAAUAAACUGAUUUUCAAAGUGAAUUUGGUAGAAAUGGAUGAGAAGAUUUUGGUUGACUUUCGGCUUUCUAAGGGUGAUGGAUUAGAAUUCAAGAGACACUUCCUGAAGAUUAAAGGGAAGCUGAGUGAUGUUGUGAGCAGCCAGAAGGUUUGGCUUCCUGCCACAUGAGAGAGCCAUUGGAUUCCUGAUGAAUAUAGUGCUGCUAUGUUGAUAUUAUUCUUCCUAGAGAAGAUUAACCUAUUCUGCAAACUGCAAACAAUAGUCUCUGAAGAGUUGACUUCCCUCUAGCCAAACAUUUUCCAGUUCUUUUUGCAUGUUCUUCAUACAAACAACAUCUAUAUCUUCACUUGACUUCCCAGUACAUCGAAAAUGGCAUCCAAAUGACUGCAAGAUACACCAUCUGUCCUCUUCGUUCAUCAUACUACAGGCAGAGUAUCCAUCUACUUCUACUUCUAUUCGUGAAGCAUGCCCAAGCUCAUUCCCCUUUCAGGGCUUUUAUGUUUACAGCUGCCACCACCUGGAAUCCCUUCCAGUAGUUCACAUGGCUUAUUUAGCAUUCAGAUCUCGGCCCAGAUGUUCUUACUAUUCCCAAUCACUGUCCUACUGUUUUGUUUUCUUCAUAGAACUGAUUACUAUCUCAAAUUAUUUAUGGUCUGUCUCCCCCACCAAAAUGUAAACUUAGACUUCAUUUCCCGUUUGUAUAUCUCCCCUCCCCCUUCCUGCCCCUUUAUAUAUUUUGUAUGUGGAACAGUACCUGGAAUGUAGUAGGACCUAAAUAAAUAUUUGUUGAAUAAAUGAAUGAAUUAAAUAUCAGAUGAAGAAAAUGCUACAGAAUAUUGUAAGGGGAAGGUGAAUUCUCAGCUAAUGGAAUUUGUGUAAGAAUGGGGAGGACGUUCCAUUCAGACUUGCACAGAUUAGCCCUCACAUUUAUAAUUACAUUGGCAACCACCUCUGUAAAGAGACUGAUAAUAACUACAUUUUAGAGUUGUUUUUAAUCUUAAAUGAGUUAAUGUAUUUAAAGAUUGUAGUAUACCGUAUUGCACAAAAGACAUUCAAUAAACAUAAGCUGCCAUAAUUUUUCUGCAGUGUUCAUUAUGUUGUUGGGAGAAUGUGUUUACUCCCAUUAUGAAAAGUAAUGUUUGCUUAUCAACGAAAAUUUGGAAAAUGUAAAAAUGAGAGGAAUAGAAUUAUUACCCAAAGAUAACAGCUAAAAUUUUGAUAGAAAGGUCAACGUGUGCUCCAUUGCAUAUAUGCACAGUGUGGUAUGUGAAGUGGGUAUGAUUGUUGAGAUAAAUAUAAAUACAUAAAGUGUGUAUGAUUUAACAAGUACUUGUAAAGUUAAUCUGUUUAAUCAAACUCAGUUGCAGAAAAAUCAUUUCUGACCCUCACAAACCUUCUUUGUACCACUUCCCACUCAGAACCCUCUCGUAUCCCACAGAAGUAAUCAUAAAAUUUAUAAUAAUCCUCUC